GAUUCAAAAUAACUGUUUGUUUCAGAUUCAGCUUGAAUCCGGUCCCUACACCUGAAACAAACAACACCAAAUUCUAAAUACACCACCAAUGCCCAAGGCAAUUUCAGGACAAGGGAAAUUCAUCUCAAACUGGGGAACAAAACUCACAACAGUAGCACUUUCCCUUAACAGGAGCAAAAUGUGACAAAGGCAUAGUUUUCACCAACACGAUCAUAAGUUAUCAACUUAAAAGUGCUGUAAACACAAAGGAACCACCCUCCUCCUUCAACAUCUAAAGGCCGACAUACUGUCUACUCCAUGCAACGGCAAUCUAAGACCUGGGCUUCUCCUUCUUCUCUUUGAAGAGGGCAAGCAGAGACACACCAGACACCUUGACGACCUUGAACCGGACACCGGGAAUAUCUCCCACGGCAUGCCCCUUACGACCGAAUCCAGCAAUCA
rnacentral:lncRNA from 1 species